GUGGGGAAUAUUGGACAAUGGGCGAAAGCCUGAUCCAGCCAUGCCGCGUGUGUGAAGAAGGUCUUAGGAUUGUAAAGCUCUUUCACCGAUGAAGAUAAUGACGGUAGUCGGAGAAGAAGCCCCGGCUAACUUCGUGCCAGCAGCCGCGGUAAUACGAAGGGGGCUAGCGUUGUUCGGAAUUACUGGGCGUAAAGCGCAUGUAGGCGGAUAUUUAAGUCAGGGGUGAAAUCCCGCAGCUCAACUGCGGAACUGCCUUUGAUACUGGGUAUCUUGAGUAUGGAAGAGGUGAGUGGAAUUCCGAGUGUAGAGGUGAAAUUCGUAGAUAUUCGGAGGAACACCAGUGGCGAAGGCGGCUCACUGGUCCAUUACUGACGCUGAGGUGCGAAAGCGUGGGGAGCAAACAGGAUUAGAUACCCUUGUAGUCC
rnacentral:rRNA from 1 species